rnacentral:misc_RNA from 1 species
UACGUAAUCCGGCUCCCGUGAGGGCACCCCCCUAUUUCUAGGGGGUUCCGGAGAUGUCAAACCCUGGUGAGGUCCUUCGCUUAGUGUCGAAUUAAACCACAUGCUCCACCGCUUGUGUGGAUCCCCGUCAAUUCCUUUGAGUUUUAGCCUUGCGGCCGUACUCCCCAGGCGGGGUACUUAACGCGUUAGCUUAGGCGCGUAGGGGGUCGAGACCCCACACACCGAGUACCCAUCGUUUAGGGCGUGGACUAC